rnacentral:tRNA from 1 species
UAGAUUAAAGCCAGUAGUUAGGGUAUUUAGCUGUUAAUUAAAUUUUAUGGGUUUGAGUCCCAUUAAUCUAC